GGGACACGUGGUAUCCUGUCUGAAUAUGGGGGGACCAUCCUCCAAGGCUAAAUACUCCUGACUGACCGAUAGUGAACCAGUACCGUGAGGGAAAGGCGAAAAGAACCCCGGCGAGGGGAGUGAAAAAGAACCUGAAACCGUGUACGUACAAGCAGUGGGAGCACGCUUAGGCGUGUGACUGCGUACCUUUUGUAUAAUGGGUCAGCGACUUAUAUUCUGUAGCAAGGUUAACCGAAUAGGGGAGCCGAAGGGAAACCGAGUCUUAACUGGGCGUUAAGUUGCAGGGUAUAGACCCGAAACCCGGUGAUCUAGCCAUGGGCAGGUUGAAGGUUGGGUAACACUAACUGGAGGACCGAACCGACUAAUGUUGAAAAAUUAGCGGAUGACUUGUGGCUGGGGGUGAAAGGCCAAUCAAACCGGGAGAUAGCUGGUUCUCCCCGAAAGCUAUUUAGGUAGCGCCUCGUGAAUUCAUCUCCGGGGGUAGAGCACUGUUUCGGCAAGGGGGUCAUCCCGACUUACCA
rnacentral:rRNA from 1 species